rnacentral:rRNA from 1 species
UACAGAGGGGGCCAGCGUUAUUCGGAAUUAUUGGGCGUAAAGGGCGCGUAGGCGGCUUUGCGUGUCUUUCGUGAAAUCCCUCGGCUCAACUGAGGACGUGCGGAAGAAACUGCAGGGCUGGAGUCCGGGAGAGGCGAGUGGAAUUCCCGGUGUAGCGGUGAGAUGCGCAGAUAUCGGGAGGAACACCAAUGGCGAAGGCAGCUCGCUGGGACGUUACUGACGCUGAGACGCGAAAGCGUGGGGAGCAAACAGG